UACGUAGGGCGCAAGCGUUAUCCGGAAUUAUUGGGCGUAAAGAGCUCGUAGGCGGUUUGUCGCGUCUGCUGUGAAAGACCGGGGCUCAACUCCGGUUCUGCAGUGGGUACGGGCAGACUAGAGUGCAGUAGGGGAGACUGGAAUUCCUGGUGUAGCGGUGAAAUGCGCAGAUAUCAGGAGGAACACCGAUGGCGAAGGCAGGUCUCUGGGCUGUAACUUACGCUGAGGAGCGAAAGCUAGGGGAGCAAACAGG
rnacentral:rRNA from 1 species